AGAGAUUGGAAACCUAAAAUAUUAACCUAGCUAAUCAUCCAUCUCCGCCUCCAUCAAAACUAUAAAUGAGACUAUGAUGAGUAAUUUUCCUGUUUAUGCAACAAAUUCUUAUUCAACUAGGUCGAAGUUCAAAUGUUCAAAACGUUUCGAAACCAGAAACCUCCUCCUGUUAGCAAUCAAGAAGAAAACUCAUGGAGGCAUGUAUGGUAUGAGGUAACUUCUGCUUUUCGUACCAUAAUGAGAAGCUAAUAGAUGACAAGCAUGCGCUUCAGGACUUUGGCAUACGUAAUAAUUCACAGGUACAAAAAUACUGAUAUUUUCAUGAUAACUCCUUAGGAUUACUGUUAUGGGUGUUCUUUAGGAAAUUUACUGAUUUUUAAGCUUAUUGAUGGUAAAUGGAGAACUUGUAAAUGCAAGCAUAAGAGUUUUUUUGAUGGAUUUGGCUCCUCCUGGUUGCACUUUAUCAGUACUUAUGGCAAGUAACUUAGGGAACCAUGUUGGUUGACUUGCUUGCCAUUUUAUUUUUUAUAGAUAUACUGAUAAAUAUAUGUAGCGGCUUGGGUUUUAUGUAUUGUUCAAACUUUUUAGACUGUUGUGGUAGGAUAUUCAUCACAGGGUUGCACAUCUAGGAGAACUAUUUGUUGUUUGCUUGUUGUCUUUGGUGACCUAGCAACAGUGCAGGACUUUAUGCAAUGAUACAAGAGCAGGCCGAAAAAAUUCAAGCUCAAGUAGACCAAAGAUGCGCCAAGAAUAAGGUUAUCAGAAUGUUGAAAGAAGAAAACGGAAAGUUUACAAGAAACAUACAAAAGUUGAUGCAUACUCUCGGGCUAAACAACGUUACCGCUAAUGGAACAACUGAAAGUUGAAUGCUAUGCCACAAGUCACUUGUCACAUUAAUGUUUUAGUCUAGUAUCUUUUUUUACUAAUAGCGGUGUUUAUUUAUUUAUUGGUAGAGUAUAUUUAUCAGAUUUUUUUGGUUUGGAUCUUGUUUAAAAAAUUUAUUUGACUGGGUUAAUUAUUUUUUGUUCAACUAAUAUUAUUAAUUUAAAUAUUUAUUUGU